UACGUAGGUGGCAAGCGUUGUCCGGAUUUACUGGGCGUAAAGAGCGCGCAGGCGGUCGUUCAAGUCGAGUGUGAAAGCCCCCGGCUCAACUGGGGAGGGUCAUUCGAUACUGAUCGACUCGAAGGCAGGAGAGGGAAGUGGAAUUCCCGGUGUAGUGGUGAAAUGCGUAGAUAUCGGGAGGAACACCAGUGGCGAAGGCGACUUCCUGGCCUGUUCUGACGCUGAGGCGCGAAAGCUAAGGGGAGCAAACGGGG
rnacentral:rRNA from 1 species